rnacentral:lncRNA from 12 species
AUGACCUGGGGGGGAGACAGAGGAGAUUUGGGGUUAUUGGGGGUGAUACAGGGUGGGAUUGGCCCAAAAUCCACUGGAAUUGGCCCAAAAUCCAGCCUGAAAUCCUGUGGAAUCACCCUGAAAUUCAGCCCGAAUUCCAGCCCAAAAUCCUGUGGAAUUAGCCUGAAAUCCAUCCUGAAAUCCCAGGGAAUUGCUCCAAAAUCCUGCCUGAAAUCCUGUGGAAUCGCCCUGAAAUUUAACUCGAAUUCUGGCCCAAAAUCCUGUGAAAUUGCCCCAAAAAUCCAUCCUGAAAUCCCCUGGAAUUGCCCCAAAAUCCAUCCUGCAAUCCCAGCCCGGCCAGGGCGGUCAGCAGCUGCAGCAGCAUGGCCUGGGGGGGAGAGACAGAGGAGAUUUGGGGUGAUACAGGGUGAUACAGGGUGGGAUUGGUCCAAAAUCCACUGGAAUUGGCCCAAAAUCCAGCCUGAAAUUGUGUAGAAUUGCCCUGAAAUGUAGCCUGAAUUGCAGCCCGAAAUCCUGUGAAAUUGGUCCAAAAUCCAGCCUGAAAUCCUGUGGAAUCACCCUGAAAUUCAGCCCGAAUUCCAGCCUGAAAUCCUGUGGAAUUGCUCCAAAAUCCAGCCUGAAAUGCAGUGGAAUUGCCCAGAAAUUCAGCCCAAAAUCC